rnacentral:lncRNA from 1 species
GGGCUGUGGCAGGAUACAUGGGAUAAGUGGAAGGAAAGGGUUAAAAAGUCCUGAAUUCAGAUUCUCUUUCUGCUGUAGAUUUGCUUUACUGGAGCUGCUUCAUCUCCCUGUGCAUGGCUUAGUCUGUGUUUUAGCUCUUAGGCUGACUCCCAGUAGGGGAUACCUGUGGCUGAUGGGUAACACAGCAAUUCAGACUUUCCAAAGUCCUGCCUGGUGGUGGGGAACAUCAUCAAGUCUGUGCUUUGGAAAUACAUGUUUUAUGAACAUUAAAUACAUGGACAUACAUGCAUGCUUCAUCCCUGGUCCUGCCAGCUGCACGUAUCUAUAGAUAUUUGUCUAUUCAGGUAUUGCUAGUUUUGCCAUGGGAUGACCAAGCAUUUGAGCUGAAUACGUUUCACCAACAGACCUUUUGGAAGGCAGAUGGGUUUUGCAAUUAUGGAGCCCCGCUUGAACAGAGAUAUUGGCAGAAGAGGUUGUCAGGGCAAGGGAAAUUAAAGUGUUGCCUCUAACUGAAUGGCAAACCUUUUGGUUCCCAGAGUGCUUCCCACUCACUGAACCCAACAUGCCUUGCACAUGUUCUGUGCCUGGUGAUGGAUCACAUCUCACGGAGGUGACCGCAGGGACUUCUCGGUCCCAGCUGGACAUUUCACAACCUUGUGCCAGCCACAGCCCAGCAUCUUUCACAUUGGUGGUGUCAGUUUUAUUCUUUACCUGUGUAAAUCCUGGCAGAGCAGGUCUGACUUCAUGGAUGGUGCCCGCACAGAUGUUGCCCGCACAGAUGUUGCCACAGUGCAAGUAGGAAUUAAUCGUGCCUGGCCUCCAUCAGAGGGAGAAUCAUUGCCUUCCAGAGCACCCGGAGGAUGCUGGGCACAGCGGAUGCAGCCGGCAGAGGGAGUGUGGAGCAUUGUACGCUGACUGCUUGUCUCCCGUUAGAUGCAGUGCCCUGCAAACCGGCCUCUUUCUUCCCUUCUCUCGGCAGACUGCUAAGUGGGAACAGAGCAAUGCGAUAACGGAUUGUUUAUUAUGGAAACAUGCCACUUUUAGUAGAUUUACAAGCAGCUUUGUGGAGCUCCUGAGCACUCUGUAUUUUUGUUUUUAGUUCGUUACUCAUCUUGAUACAUCGUUGGUAUACGUCUAACCACGGCUGUAAAAGACGCUAGCGGGGACAUGAUGGGGCCAAAGCAUGGGAGAUAGAAUGCAGCUGUCAGGCAGCAUUUCUUCUAGGGGUUUGAGGAGUACCAGCAGGCUGUGUCAGCCCGGCAGUGACUGUUUCUCAGUGACUGACUUUACAGUCAGACUAUUUUGUAGUUCCUUCAAGGAAGGCCCCGUGGUUUAGCGGCUGCACAGAUGGUUGCAUUGCAUUUAGAGCAAAGUGAAAUAACACUAGUUCCUCCCAUCCUCUGCUGCCUCACGCUGAGAAAUUAGCAGCCUCUUUUGGGAGCUACUAGUCAAAAUCUCAGAUCUGAACACCUCCAGACUUUCAGCAAAGUUUGAAACCAGUUCAGGAGCUGAAUUUCAAGUCUGCUCUUCCCAUGCCAAAACCCCCAGAGCUGAAUACCUGGGAACUAUGGAGGUGGGUUAACUCACAGACCAAAUACACUCGGAGCUUUUCAUUGUCUCCCUUUAAUGCAUCAGCUUUCCCAAUAUGUCUAGCAUAGUCCAUACCGCAUUCACUGCUGUAAUCACCACUGAAACCUGGAUAGGUUAGAAAUCCAUAUGUGGAUCUGCGUCUGGGUGAAUUUGGCAGACAGAAAGCAGUCCCCAAAAGGCAAUUUCUUCCUAUCGAAUCAUCUGCCAAUUUUAACAGUUUUGAUUUAUGCUUUUUAAUGUUACUGAGCUCUUUGCUGAAAGAGUUGAAGGCCAUCUCCACUGGCGCUGCUAUUGAAUGAGCCACCUCAGGAGCAAGACCGGCUUCCAGAGUAGCUGGGAGUUUGUAUCUUUUACAUGUGAGGUUUCUCUGCCUGUCUCAUGGUCUCCUGCACUUCCUUAGCUCAAACAAGUGCUUCCAAUUACAGAAAAGUAUGUGACAUACAUGAGUCACGGUUGGGUUUUGGGCACUAUGGUUUUAAGGGAGACCAGGUACAAGGGUUAAACUUGUACCUGCUCCCUUACCUGCUGCUGCAACCUAGGGUAGAGAAGAAAUGUGCCAUGUGAGUGUAUAACCCUCCUGGUUUCUCUAAUGAAACUAGUUUUGUUUGGUUUGGUUUGGGGUUUUUUUUUCAUUUUUUAUUAUUUGCCCCUGAAAGAGGAAAUUAAUUAGGCCAGUUGGAAGUAUAUGAGGGCUGUUUUGUGUGGGGAGGACCAGAGCAGGUGAGCAGUUCCUGGAAUUGCUUGGAUAGUAGACAAGAGCAUGGAGUAAGAGACCGAUGAGAGGGUAGUUAGUUUACUUAGAAAGACUGACUGAGUGCAGCCGUCUGGAAAGUAGAUCAUCUUUCUGAAAGGCACAAAGAAGAAAAAUAAUGACUCCAGAUUCAUCCCUUGUGUAAUUCUUUUGAAGUUGGUGGCUUACACCAGGAUGAUUUAACCCCAUUAAUUUUAAUGGGUCACUGCAGUGUCCCAAGAGUUGCUUUUUGCUGUGCUGCGUUCUGAGGCAGAGAUAAAGCAGAGCCUCGGUGUCUGGGCUUAAACCCAAGCUUGGUGUCCCCAUAGGGCUGGUUUGGGCCCGUCCACAUUGUGGCUGACUCCAAUUGGAGAAGGAAAAGGAUGCAGGAGAUGAUGAUGUGUCUGACCCCCUGUCCCGUGAUGGCUAGGUGCUGCCAGGACUUUGUUGUGAGCCAUAAUCUGCCUAAAAAAGCUGUAUCUGGUCUGAAAACCAAGGACAACCGGGCUAAGAGCACUCACUGGAGUUAACACCGCCCCUCACCCUGCUGCGGGUCUGCUGAUCCGAAGUGAUUAACACAGGGAGAGACAAGAGGUGUGGAGCAGUGUGUCAAAGGAAGAAGCCUGAAACUGAGCAGAAACCAGCAACAGAUGAACCCUGGUGGGACUCAGUGGGCAGGGAGCGAAGGUCAGUGCCUUUGACAUGCAACAGGGACUCAGAGGCUAUGUCUGGGGACAGGGAUAAAGCGCAUUUACCACCUAUUGAUCAAAGCAAGCCGGUCAUAGCAGGAAUCGGCCACGCAUAGUUAAAAAGCCCAUGUAUCACAGCAGGGAAAAUUUAAUCUGCUGCCAGGAGGGGAGGAUGCGUGUUUGUCACCAGUUGUCAGACAGCUGAAGACAUGGUGGCAGACACAGCUGUAGUGCUUGGGCAGAAAUAGCGAUCGUGCCCCAGCCUCAUCAAGCAGCAGCACGUCAUGCACUGUGCUCAUCCCCUGCUCCUUGAGGGCCUCAGAGCCAACCUUGUGCCUCAGCUCUCCGCUUUUGCAUGCAUCUCCUCAUGUGCCUUCCUCCCAGAGACAUUUGUAGGUUUCCUGUCCUAGUGCUGUCCUAUUUUGAGGGUGGCAGAGCUUUCACCUGACUUCCUGUCCUUUGCAAGUAUUGAUGACGAAUUGACCAGACAAUAGGAAAUGAGCCAUAAGGAGCAGAUGGAGUAUAAUGAAACGAAGUGCUUAAUCUUCAUGCAAAUGUUCUUAGUAACAUGGAGGAGGGGGAAGCCGUGUUUGGUGAAGAUUGGGUGUAAAGUAAACCCUAAGCAGCCUGCUUUUAUCAAGGUAUCGGCUGUUCCUUAGUUUCUUGCAGAAGGAAGGGAAGACAAGCAUUGCUGUGUCUUUGGGCAUUUAUCUCUUGACAGACUUGACCUGACUGUACAGUGAGCCCAGGGAGAGGGUCCUGGUAGGGAAGGACAUAUCACAUGUUGCAAUAAGAGUUGCUCAGUAAACUCGGUCACUUCUUCUGAUACCUCUAUUUAAUCUCAUUGGUCUGUAGUCUUCUCCCAGUCACAUAUUGUAAUGCAAACUCUGUAAAAUCACUUCCCAGCUAAAGCAGAUCAGAAAAUCCAUCUGGAUUAGCAAACUGAUCAGUAAAAAGCUUUAUAAAAUAAAGAUGCAUCUGGUCUUGAAUUAUAUCUCCUGCAAAAGCAGAAGGGAGGGGAGCUGAGCUCCGGUCCUGCACUUGAGUCAGAACAACCCCAUUCAAUGCUACAGGCUUGGGGAAGAGCGGCUGGAAAGCUGCUUGGCAGAAAAGGACCUGGGGUUGUUUGUGGACAGGCAUUUGAACAUGAGCCAGCUUGUGCCCAGGCAGCCAAGAAGGCCAACAGCAUCCUGGCCUGUGUCAGAAAUAGUGUGGCCAGCAGAGCCAGGGCAGUGAUCAUCCUCCUGUACUUGGCACUUCUGAGGCCGCACCUUGAAUAGUGUGUUCAGUCCCAGGCCUCUCGCUACAAGAGAGAUAAUGAAGUGCUGGAGUGGGUCCAGAGAAGGGCAAUAAAGCGGGUGAAGGGCCUGGAGUACAAAUCUUACGAGGAGUGGCUGAGGGAAUUGGGGUUGUUCAGUCUGAAGAAGAGAAGUCUUGAGGGACCUUCUCGCUAUCUACAACUACCUGAAAGGAGGUUGUAGUGAGGUUGGUGUCAGUCGCUGCUCCCAAACAACAAGUGAUAGGCUGAGGGAACAGCCUCAAUUUGCACUAGGGAAGGUUUAGACUGGAUAUUAGGAAAAAAAUUGUCACCAAAAGGGUUAUCAAGCACUGGAACAGGCUUCCCAUGGAAGUGGUGGAGUCACCAUCCCUGGGAGUAUUUAAAAGAUCUGUAGAUGUGGCACUUGGGGACAUGGUUUAGUGGUGGACUUGGCAGAGUUAAAUUUAUGAUUGGACUCACUGAUCUUAAAGGUCCUUUCCAGCUAAAUUAUUCAAUAAUUCUAUGAAUAUCGAAGGUUGUUCUUGCAAACAUGUGGGUCCUGGAAACGUGUGUGCUGGUACCCACCAUAUCAUAGUGUAAUAUUUACAUGUGGAUGCAUCCUGUACAUAUGUCUCUCUCUCUUUUGGAGAGAGAAGUGUCAGAUACAAAGGGUGAAACUGAAUUUGCCUAAGUCCAAGGUAGGUUUGCAGUUCACCCCAAGGGCUGGAACGAGUGCUGCUGCUGCUCUGUAUCACCCAAGGAGGAAUUUUAACUGUGCCCAUGCAAAGACAGGUGGACGAAUCCCAGCAA